GUAUUUGUAGUGAGUGCAGUGUGUAUAAUAAAUGUAGUGUAUUUGUAGUGAGUGCAGUGUGUAUAAUAAAUGUAGUGUGUUUGUAGUGAGUGCAGUGUGUGUAUAGUGAAUGCAGUGUGUAUAGUAAAUGCAGAGGGUGUAUAGUGAAUGUAGUGUGUUUGUAGUGAGUGUAUAGUGAAUGUAGUGUGUUUGUAGUGAGUGAAGAGUGUGUAUAAUGAAUGCAGUGUGUGCGUGUGCUGGAUGACGUGUGUGUGCGCUGGAUGACGUGUGUGAGUGCUGGAUGACGUGUGUGUGAGUG